AGCUUGCUCUUGAUGACGAGUGGCGCACGGGUGAGUAACGCGUAUGCAAUCUACCUAUAACUGAGGAAUAGCCCAGAGAAAUUUGGAUUAAUACCUCAUAAUAUUAUUAUUUGGCAUCAUUUAAUAAUUAAAACUCCGGUGGUUAUAGAUGAGCAUGCGUUCUAUUAGCUAGUUGGUGAGGUAAGAGCUCACCAAGGCUACGAUAGAUAGGGGGCCUGAAAGGGUGAUCCCCCACACUGGUACUGAGACACGGACCAGACUCCUACGGGAGGCAGCAGUGAGGAAUAUUGCACAAUGGAGGAAACUCUGAUGCAGCCAUGCCGCGUGCAGGAUGAAGGCCCUAUGGGUUGUAAACUGCUUUUUUACAAGAAGAAACCUUGGUACGUGUACCAACUUGACGGUAUUGUAAGAAUAAGCACCGGCUAACUCCGUGCCAGCAGCCGCGGUAAUACGGAGGGUGCAAGCGUUAUCCGGAUUUAUUAGGUUUAAAGGGUUCGCAGGCGGAAUUUUAAGUC
rnacentral:rRNA from 1 species